AUGCAAGUCGAGCGGUAAGGCCCUUCGGGGUACACGAGCGGCGAACGGGUGAGUAACACGUGGGUGAUCUGCCCUGCACUUCGGGAUAAGCCUGGGAAACUGGGUCUAAUACCGGAUAUGACCUUCGGCUGCAUGGCUGAGGGUGGAAAGGUUUACUGGUGCAGGAUGGGCCCGCGGCCUAUCAGCUUGUUGGUGGGGUAAUGGCCUACCAAGGCGACGACGGGUAGCCGACCUGAGAGGGUGACCGGCCACACUGGGACUGAGACACGGCCCAGACUCCUACGGGAGGCAGCAGUGGGGAAUAUUGCACAAUGGGCGAAAGCCUGAUGCAGCGACGCCGCGUGAGGGAUGACGGCCUUCGGGUUGUAAACCUCUUUCAGCAGGGACGAAGCGAGAGUGACGGUACCUGCAGAAGAAGCACCGGCCAACUACGUGCCAGCAGCCGCGGUAAUACGUAGGGUGCAAGCGUUGUCCGGAAUUACUGGGCGUAAAGAGCUCGUAGGCGGUUUGUCGCGUCGUCUGUGAAAACUCGAGGCUCAACCUCGAGCUUGCAGGCGAUACGGGCAGACUUGAGUACUGCAGGGGAGACUGGAAUUCCUGGUGUAGCGGUGAAAUGCGCAGAUAUCAGGAGGAACACCGGUGGCGAAGGCGGGUCUCUGGGCAGUAACUGACGCUGAGGAGCGAAAGCGUGGGUAGCGAACAGGAUUAGAUACCCUGGUAGUCCACGCCGUAAACGGUGGGCGCUAGGUGUGGGUUUCCUUCCACGGGAUCCGUGCCGUAGCUAACGCAUUAAGCGCCCCGCCUG
rnacentral:rRNA from 1 species